rnacentral:misc_RNA from 1 species
CGGGACUCGUUUCGUGCGACGGAGGCGCUCGCUCGCGCAUCGGGAUUGGUCACCCGAUCACGCCCGUUAUAAAAGCGAGCGACGAGGGUGAACACCUUGCCACAUUCGACAUGAAGGCGCAGCAGCAAUUGGCAUCCGUACUGCUAGCCCUGUUUAUCUGUGUCCGAGGACAACAGUACGUCCCAUAUGGCCCGGGACUCAAUGGAAUUCAAACAGGUCAAGUUCCCGCUGCAAAUAUUAUCAGAGCGCCGCCAUUGCCAAACGCACCAGUUAGCUCCAGCCCAGUGGUCAACCUGAACCUUCCUAUUGGACGUUCUUACAAAGCACCAGAAGGCGCAUAUGGCAUCGGUUCCGUGGUACAAAAUGGACGCAUUUCCAUUCCUCCGGGAGCCACAGUGGCUGCGAAUGGUAAUGGAAGGCUGACAGAUGUGCUCGGCCUCGGAAGCCUUUACGUCGAAAGAGGAGUCAGCGGUGGUUCUCCCGGUCGCCUUGUUCGCAUACAGAAACGAUCUGCUGAUGAAAGUCGUGACGUGCGCCAUCACUACGAGGAAGAUCUGAGAACGGCCGUGAGAGAGCUUACCGGUGCAGGUGUUUUGCCUAGGCAUACCAAACACGUUGAGUAUGAUCGUGAAAGUAUGUACAGGCUCGCAAAGGAAGCAAUCAAGAAGAAUCCGCGCAAGGGUAUUUCGUUUAAAAAACCCGAGGGAGGAUAUGGCGUCGGCUCUAUUUUUGAUAGCGUGAACCCUCCUUUUAGUAAGGACACCGAGAAUCACAAGAAAUUAGAAGCUAAGGUCAGUCGAAAGUACCCUGUCCGUGAGGAUGCACCAAACUCGCCAGAAGAAGCCCUGAGAACUCUUGCGGAUCAUCCUAAAGGAGUAUCCUACAAGAAGCCUGAGGGUGAAUACGGCGUUGCUUCGUUGUUUGAUACAACCACUCUGUUCAACCCUUUCUUCCAUAGGCGCCACAGGAGACAGGCUGUUGGCUCCGGGUCAGUAACCGCCGUUCUAGUAGACUUUGACAAGGACACCGAUUCACCAGCACAGCCACCUUCAGCUCCGACAAGCAGUUUUGCUCCCGUCGUCGGAUUCACUGUCCAGGAACCUGAAGGGGGUACCCCAAGCAAGCACAUCCUCAAGAACGUCAUUUACAGGAAGCGCCCAGGAAGCUUCAAGCCGGCAUUUUCACCGGACGCACCGCCUACCAAGCAUGUGCUGAGAAUUCCAGACAGCAUCGAACUACCGCCGCUUGGUGGCAUACCCGAAAAGACUGGUGAGGAGUCGCCUGACAUCCAGAUCGUUGCUUCUCAAGGGACCGCUCGGUCGAAGCCGGUCGUUUCCCGAAAGGCCACCUCCACGGCGACUAUCGAGUUCCGACCGACCUUCCCUGUGGAGCACAUCAAGCCGGCCCUUCCUCCUCUGCCAAGACCAUCGACUCGCCAUCACUCGAAGGCUUCGCACUCGCACACUGACGCCAGCGCCCUCAAGAAGGCGCCUGCUAAAUCGAUGACAGAAUCGCACAAAUUGGCUACGUCACCUCUGGUUGCUGUGCCACCGGGACAAGUGGUUUACAACCGACAGCUCGCAGCAUCCGUGCCCGUGCAGCCAGUGCGAAAUGUCGGACUUCAAUCCAGACCUCCUGCCGUUCCCACCCAAACUUUGAGGCCAGUGCCAACGGUGCAACGAGUGUUCUCGCAGCCCCAGCUUCAAGCCACGGCGCAGCCUACCGCGCAAGUGCAGCCGCAGCUUCAGGCGCAACACAACGUCGUCGCCGCCGCACCAGCAGCCGCUCCUCAAUCAACACUUCAGGUGCAGCCACCGGUGGUCGCCGCUGCACCACCUCAGCUUCAGGCUGUCGCAGCUUCUCCUUACCCAGGAGCCUUGUACCAGCAGUACACGCCCUUGGACCCAACUACGUACCAGGUGGCUCAGCCAGGACAGUACCAAACCUUCCACCAUUCGCCCUACGCACUACCUUAUGCUGCUAUCGUCGCGGAUCCUUACAACCAAGCCAGGAUAGUGCGGUCAACUGCAGGAAGGCUGAGGCAACAGGCUUCUCCUUUUGAAUCCUCUUCCACCUACUACUUGACUAAGAGGAUUAUCCAGGGAGUCCACUCGUGAACGACGUUCAGAUCUCGAUCCAUAUCUGUUCGAUUAUUUAAGGCUUGAAACUUCCUCAAUUUGUAUUCUAGCAUCAUCAACUGUACAAAUUCAUCGCCAGCACUCAUCC